GGAUUAGAUACCCUGGUAGUCCACGCUGUAAACGAUGAGAACUAGAUGUCGGGAGGGUUUUGCCUUUCGGUGUCGCAGCUAACGCGUUAAGUUCUCCGCCUGGGGAGUACGCCGGCAACGGUAAAACUCAAAGGAAUUGACGGGGACCCGCACAAGCGGUGGAGCAUGUGGUUUAAUUCGAUGCAACGCGAAGAACCUUACCUGCCCUUGACAUCCUCGGAACUUUCCAGAGAUGGAUUGGUGCCUUCGGGAACCGAGUGACAGGUGCUGCAUGGCUGUCGUCAGCUCGUGCCG
rnacentral:rRNA from 1 species